rnacentral:rRNA from 1 species
AGUGAACGCUGGCGGUAGGCCUAACACAUGCAAGUCGAACGGCAGCACAGUAAGAGCUUGCUCUUACGGGUGGCGAGUGGCGGACGGGUGAGGAAUACAUCGGAAUCUACUUUUUCGUGGGGGAUAACGUAGGGAAACUUACGCUAAUACCGCAUACGACCUACGGGUGAAAGCAGGGGAUCUUCGGACCUUGCGCGAUUGAAUGGGCCGAUGUCGGAUUAGCUAGUUGGCGGGGUAAAGGCCCACCAAGGCGACGAUCCGUAGCUGGUCUGAGAGGAUGAUCAGCCACACUGGAACUGAGACACGGUCCAGACUCCUACGGGAGGCAGCAGUGGGGAAUAUUGGACAAUGGGCGCAAGCCUGAUCCAGCCAUGCCGCGUGGGUGAAGAAGGCCUUCGGGUUGUAAAGCCCUUUUGUUGGGAAAGAAAAGCAGCAGGUUAAUACCCCGCUGUUCUGACGGUACCCAAAGAAUAAGCACCGGCUAACUUCGUG